AGAUGGGAUAAAUAGGAAGAAUGUUCUGUGGAUAAAAAGAAUAACUAUCCUUUUUGGAUAACAAGUGUAAAUUUUGAAAUACAAAUUGUUAUCGCUCAGUGGAGGUAUGAUGACAGGCAAGAGGAAAUAUAGAUAUAGGUAGAGAAUGGAGUCUAACAGAAGGAAAAUGUGCAAAGGAAUUUGCACGGUUAUACAAAAAGAUACAAAUAUAAGCAGGCAGUCUAAGCAGGCAGUCUAAGCAGACUUACCAUAAAACUUUUUAUUUAGCUUAAAAAUGUCUGUGGCUUGCUCUCUCUUCCUGCUGCUUGGCCAAAAUGAUAACACUAACUGAACAGUAUUGGUCUGCCUAUAGGAAAUCUGAGGAAAGUUUUAAAUAGUGUGUGACUUUUUUGGAUAUUAUGAUGUUAGGAUUUUGAUAGUUGCAUUUGAAAAUACUGAAUUAGAAAAUGAUGCGCUAAGUUUAGCAAGCAGUAUUUUGAAUGGGCAUUUGUGAUUGCAUAAAAAACUUCCUUGCAUUCUCUGGUGGAAGAUGUACCUCAAGAAAAAUGGGUGGAGGAGGUCUCUUGGUAAAGAUCAAGCAUGGAACUGUUUAGGAAGAAAAUUAACGCAUCCUUGGAGUCCUGAAGGAAGAGCCUCCCUGAUGGGACCACUUUCAAGAGUGGAGUGAAAAGUGGAUUCACAAAGUUCCAGCAUUGACACUUUCAAGGAAGUUUAUGUGCUUGAUGGAGAUGGAAAAAGAUGAAAAAAAGCUCGUUUUCUGGAGAAAGGUGAAGACAAAUAUUUCUUGGAACUUUAUUACCUUGGAACCAUGUUCUGAGUACUCCUCUUAGACAUCUUUCGUAAAUAUUCUCUAUGUCAACAGAGCGAUGUGAUUGAAAAUUUGUUUCAUCAAACUAUUUGCUGGAAGAAGUCUGCUUUGAAUGUAACACUUUGCAUUGUUUCAGUUUAUGAGAAAAAGCUGUAGACUUCUACAUGUUAUUUAUUAACUGCAUCUCAGUUGAGCUAAAGCAAUCUAGUCUUUGAAGUGAAUAGAAGCAGAGCCCU
rnacentral:lncRNA from 1 species